CUCUCUCUCUUUCUCCCCUUUUCUCUUUCUUGCGCGUGCAAGCAAAAUACCCUCCUGGGCCGGGAUCAUGGCAGCGGGGACAACUCCUUCCGCUACUACCACUGAGAAGUGAGUAGCUGGCUGCGCUGUGCAGGAGAUUCCUCAGUGCCAGACUCAGGUCGGUCCCCUUCGUGUUGACUCAGGAAAAAGCCGGAGCAGGCGUCUCUGGAUGCAGAGAGGGAACAGUUCCAGAGUUCUGCGCAAGGGGAGCCCUGUGCAGUGCAGGAGAACUGGAGCUUUUCCCUCCCUACACCCAAUCAGCUGCUGCUGCUGCUGCUCCUCCCCAUUCUCCUCCUUCCUAAGCCAACACAAAGGGGACUGCGGCUCGCUCUGAUCUGAGUCUGGCGCUGAGGAGUCUCCUGCGCUGCAUACCCAGUUACUCACCUUAUUGUGCAGUGGCGACAGCGAGCGGAGUAAUUGUCCCUUCGGUCUUGAUCCUGGCCCAGAAGGGCAAAGCCAAGAAGAGAGACUGAUAGUGAUACCAGUUGUCAAAGUACAUGGAAUAUCCUAUUGCUUCUAUAUGACUUCUGCUAGCACUUUGAGCAGAACUGCAAGAGGAGCAUUUUGAAAUUCUUGGUGAUGAUGGUCUUGAAGUUAAUGUUCAGAAAGCAAGUCCAGACCUAACCUCAUAAAGUGGCAAGGAAAGAUAGAAGCCUUAACCACUGCUGAGGCCUGCCGCUCGAAGAAGUGGGUGGAGGAAGCAAUCGAUCCUUGUUCCAGAUCAUCCAUUGGGGCAAAGAAUUCAGUGAUAUCGUCUUGGC